UGGACCUGAUGGAUAGUCAGCAGGAUUCAGCUGACUGCGUCACCUCAGCCCGGUGCCAGAGCGAAUCCCUGGUUGCUGGGUCCUGGUGUGGCCAGUUGGUGCAUUUUCUGUUGAUGUGCGCUGGGACCUGUGUCGGUGCUGGAGGUAAGGGUGGGAUUGCCGGCCACGCCCUCGUGGCGUGGUGUCCCGUCCCGCCCCGAAACCGGGUUACUGAUACAGGCUGACUCGAACCGUCACCCGCCUCUACUCGGCCGGAUGGUGAGCUCAUUCAAUCGAAAUGUUGUUCCUUGCUCGCAAGACUCUGCGCUGCUUGGGUGUGUGAGCCGUCUUUGGACUGAGUUGGUGACUUAUCCCGGUGUUUAUGUCAGUCACCCAUCUGACCCGUCUUGAAACACGGACCAAGGAGUCUAACAUGUGCGCGAGUCACUGGGUUGCAACACCCAAAGGCGCAAUGAAAGUGAAGUCCAGUCCGGCUGGAAAGACAUGGGACCCUUUCCCCCCGAGGUGAGAGGUGCACCAUGGUCCCGUCCUUUUCGCAUUGUCGAAUGGGCGGAGAUAGAGCGUACACGUUGGGACCCGAAAGAUGGUGAACUAUGCCUGAGCAGGAUGAAGCCAGAGGAAACUUUGGUGGAGGUCCAUAGCGAUUUUGACGUGCAAAUCGAUC
rnacentral:rRNA from 1 species